rnacentral:rRNA from 1 species
GAUAGCUCAACGUAUUAGGCUUCGGGGGAUACUGCCAGACUUGGAACCGGGAGAGGUAAGAGGUACUACAGGGUAGGAGUGAAAUCUUGUAAUCCCUGUGGGACCACCUGUGGCGAAGGCGUCUUACCAGAACGGGUUCGACGGUGAGGGACGAAAGCUGGGGCACGAACCGGAUUAGAUACCCGGGUAGUCCCAGCCGUAACGAUGCUCGCUAGGUGUCAGGCAUGGCGCGACCGUGUCUGGUGCCGCAGGGAAGCCGUGAAGCGAGCCACCUGGGAAGUACGGCCGCAAGGCUGAAACUUAAAGGAAUUGGCGGGGGAGCACAACAACGGGGUGGAGCCUGCGGUUUAAUUGGACUCAACGCCGGACAACUCACCGGGGGCGACAGCAAUAUGUAGGCCAAGCUGAAGACUUUGCCUGAAUCGCUGAGUGGAGGUGCAUGG